rnacentral:rRNA from 1 species
CUUCGCGUGCUUUUAACACAAAAUUAGGGUAUCUGCAAGUCGAGCGCGAGAGUAGCAAUAUUCUUGAGCGGCGAACGGGUGCGUAACACGUGUGCAACCUACCUUAAAGUUCAGAAUAGCCUGCCGAAAGGCGGAUUAAUGCGGAAUGUGGCGGCUCACAGCAUUGUGUGCUUGCUAAAGCCGGGGUCGCAAGACCUGGCGCUUUAAGAGGGGCUCGCGGCCUAUCAGCUUGUUGGCGGGGUAACGGCCCACCAAGGCUAAGACGGGUAGCUGUUCUGAGAGGAAGAUCAGCCACACUGGGACUGAGAUACGGCCCAGACACCUACGGGUGGCAGCAGUUUCGAAUCAUUUACAAUGGGGGAAACCCUGAUAGUGCGACGCCGCGUGGGGGAUGAAGGUCCUUGGAUUGUAAACCCCUGUCACCGGAGAACAAACGCGUAUGGCUAAUAUCCAUACGCCUGAGCUUAUCCGGAGAGGAAGCCGUGGCCAACUCUGUGCCAGCAGCCGCGGUAAUACAGAGACGGCGAGCGUUACUCGGAUUUACUGGGCGUAAAGGGUGCGUAGGUGGCCAAGUGUGUCGGGUGUGAAAUCUCGGAGCUCAACUCCGAAACUGCGCCCGAAACUACUUGGCUUGAGUUUCAGAGAGGGUAGUGGAAUUCCUGGUGUAGCGGUGAAAUGCGUAGAUAUCAGGAGGAAUACCAACGGCGAAGGCAGCUACCUGGAUGAAUACUGACACUGAGGCACGAAAGCGUGGGUAGCAAAAGGGAUUAGAUACCCCUGUAGUCCACGCCCUAAACGGUGCACGCUCGGUCUUAGCGGAUUUGACCCCGCUAGGGCCUGAGCUAACGCGUUAAGUGUGCCGCCUGAGGACUACGGCCGCAAGGCUAAAACUCAAAGGAAUUGACGGGGCCCCGCACAAGCGGUGGAGUAUGUGGCUUAAUUCGAGGCAACGCGAAGAACCUUACCAGGGUUUGACAUGCAGGAGACCGGGGGUGAAAGCUCCCUUCGGUAGCAAUACCGCUGCUGCACAGGUGCUGCAUGGCUGUCGUCAGCUCGUGUCGUGAGAUGUUGCGUUAAGUCGCGCAACGAGCGCAACCCCUGUCUUUAGUUACCAGCACGUAAUGGUGGGGACUCUAAAGAGACAAACCUCCUCUGGAGGUGGGAAGGUGGGGAUGACGUCAAGUCAGCAUGGCCCUUACACCCUGGGCUGCACACGUACUACAAUGCCCGGUACAGAGCGUUCCAAGACCGCGAGGUGGAGGCAAUCGCCAAAAGCCGGGCCCAGUUCAGAUUGGAGUCUGCAACUCGACUCCAUGAAGCCGGAAUCGCUAGUAAUGGCAUAUCAGCAACGGUGCCGUGAAUACGUUCCCGGGGCUUGUACACACCGCCCGUCACAUCAUGAAAGCCGGUUUUGCCCGAAGUAUGUGAGCAACGCAAGAGGCAGCUCUAGGCAGAAAUGUUUGUCUAAACUUCUU